rnacentral:rRNA from 1 species
UUCGCAAUGCCCGAAAGGGUGACGAAGCGACGCCGCGUGUGGGAAGAAGGCCUUCGGGUUGUAAACCACUGUCGGGAGUUAAGAAGUGUAGGGGGGUUAAUAGUCUCCUUACUUGACGUUAGCUCCGGAGGAAGCCACGGCUAACUCUGUGCCAGCAGCCGCGGUAAUACAGAGGUGGCAAGCGUUGUUCGGAAUUAUUGGGCGUAAAGAGCACGUAGGCGGCCCUGCAAGUCAGCUGUGAAAUCCUUCUGCUCAACGGAAGAACGGCAGUUGAUACUAUAGGGCUCGAGUGCGGGAGGGGAGAGUGGAACUUCUGGUGGAGCGGUGAAAUGCGUAGAUAUCAGAAGGAACAUCGGCGGCGAAGGCGACUCUCUGGCCCGUAACUGACGCUGAGGUGCGAAAGCUAGGGGAGCAAACGGGAUUAGAUACCCCGGUAGUCCUAGCCGUAAACGAUGGGCACUAAGUAGAGGGGUUUUA